CCUGUUGUUUCGUCAGCAGUAACCUAUCGGCACAUGCAUUACUGGUAACGGUUUUGUAUGAAGCUGCCGAGUAAAAGAGCCCUUUCGGAUGAAGGAGCAUAAGCCGUGAGGCUUAGCAACAAUCUUUAGUAUCAUAAGAUUGGGGCU
rnacentral:ncRNA from 1 species